rnacentral:tRNA from 5 species
UCCCCACUCGUCCAAUGGGAGGGCACCGCGCUUACAACGCGAGGACGGGAGUUCGAUUCUCUCGUGGGGAAC